rnacentral:rRNA from 1 species
UACGUAGGGGGCAAGCGUUGUCCGGAUUUAUUGGGCGUAAAGCGCACGCAGGCGGUCUGUUCAGUUUGGAGUGACAGUUCCUGGCUCAACUGGGAAAGUGCUUCGAAUACUGGCGGACUUGAGGGCUUCAGAGGGACACGGAAUUCCGGGUGGAGUGGUGAAAUGCGUAGAGAUCCGGAGGAACACCAAAGGCGAAGGCAGUGUCCUGGGGAGUACCUGACGCUCAGGUGCGAAAGCCAGGGGAGCGAACGGG